AUCAAAAGGCAAACAUAUCUUUAGCUGUUUGUCAAACACAGGCUUUUCAUUACAUUGGGAACAAGGCGGACAGGCAACACGCAUUAAGGUGACAUUAUUGGGAAGAUAACGACGCCAUUAAUGCUCCCCAAUGGAAAGAACGGUGCUCGCAAAUCCGUGUGUCCCGUGUCACCUCCGCUCUGCACCGCCAGGCCCGGUGUCCCCGGGUGCCGGACAUGGAUCCCAAUGAGUCGCAACGG
rnacentral:lncRNA from 11 species